GAAGCUCGGCUCGGUGUAACUCGUUGCUUGUCAGAGGUGGUACUGUGACGAUGAGUGAAUGAAUGGAGCGAUGCGUAUUGUUUGCUGACCCCGUUGAUGAUUUGCUCGACUUCAUGCACGCAAUGAAACGCAAACAAUAUGCCGUAGUUCGACGUAGUCGCAGGUUCUCCUUUUGGCCAUGCGUCUUCUUUGCUGCUCAGCCAAUACGGUCCGUGCCACCACCGAUGGCAUGAUAGUAAUUUAUCAGGAAGCAGACCGCGCGACACAUCGUCUGCUGGGUUGUCCACACCCGGAACAUGACGCCAGCAUUUUAUUUUUGUUUCUGCCUGAAUUUGUGCUACUCUAUUUGCAACGAAUGGCUUCCAACGCCUUGGUGGUGAGUUUAGCCAGUGUAAGACGGUCAUUGAAUCAGUCCAGCAAAAGGCUUCGCAAA